GAGAGUGAUUAGUCUCUAGUUAUUGGUGUGUGUGACAUCAAGACAAGUACGGUAGGUGCUCAAUAGAGAAUGAGUUCACUGAACGUGAUCAACGAAGAGUUCUUAUAUUCCAUGUUACAUGAGAACUCAUGGUUGGGAUAAUGCAAAGUAGUCCUUUGACCUGAGGCAUCACAGUUGUCUUGUGGUUAAGUCCUUGAUCUUUGAUUAUGUCAAAGUCACCCCUUCGGGGUGUCCACGGCAUCGUUGGGGUUAAGCCACUUAGCUAUGGAG
rnacentral:lncRNA from 1 species